UACAUGGGGUGCAAACGUUGCUCGGAAUUAUUGGGCGUAAAGCGCGCGUAGGCGGUUACUUAAGUCGGAUGUGAAAGCCCUCGGCUUAACUGAGGAAGUGCACCCGAAACUGAGUAGCUGGAGUACGAAAGAGGGUCGCGGAAUUCCCGGUGUAGAGGUGAAAUUCGUAGAUAUCGAGAGGAACACCAGUGGCGAAGGCGAGUCCCUGGACAACACCUGACACUGAGGUACGAAAGCUAGGGGAGCAAACAGG
rnacentral:rRNA from 1 species